CACUGACCACUCCUUCAAUGAAGACAGUAAUGAGAUCAUCUGCACACUCCACAGAGCUCCAGAGUUACUGUUCAUAGCAAAAGUGUAAUGCUGUCCUUGGAGAUUUUCACCUAAGACUGUGAGUGUGAGUGUGUAAUGGAUUUCAAAGUGUUUAAGUGUUCAGAGCACUCUACAGCCUGGUAAGGUGGCAAGUUUGAAAAGAGCAGCAGAAGGUAUCAGUACUGUAGUGUAACUUGUUCUUUUCCUUUCCUAACAGUGAACAGAGUGCCGAUUAUUAUCGACAGCUACGUCCACCCGGGGUGAAAGUAGUGUGGGAGACCAUCAGGACCCAGCUGGGUUUCCUUGGUCCAGAGGUUUGGAGAAACCUCUUCCUUUUCUUUCAUCACAGCUGUCCUGUGCCAGAUGUUCUGUUGACCCACUGAGAGAGGCGUGUUUGAGAAAGAUCAGGAAGACUGAAGCUCAUGGUAGGAAUGAAGGAGGACCUUGUGAGCUCCACCAGCAGCUCCCUCACAAGGAACUGUUCACAAGUCCACUGCAGGCACGCCCCAGAAGAUGGAUAAAGGCAGCGUUUCAUGAAGACACUGGAACCAAUCUAUCUUCAUAACAGCAGGAUAAAGACAUGGUGAUAAAUGAGUGUGUGGGCCGUCUGCUGAGGACCAGGAGCUCAGGACACUCAGACGGGG